GACGAACGCUGGCGGCGUGCUUAACACAUGCAAGUCGAACGGAAAGGCCCUGCUUUUGUGGGGUGCUCGAGUGGCGAACGGGUGAGUAACACGUGAGUAACCUGCCCUUGACUUUGGGAUAACUUCAGGAAACUGGGGCUAAUACCGGAUAGGAGCUCCUGCUGCAUGGUGGGGGUUGGAAAGUUUCGGCGGUUGGGGAUGGACUCGCGGCUUAUCAGCUUGUUGGUGGGGUAGUGGCUGACCAAGGCUUUGCCGGGUAGCCGGCCUGAGAGGGUGACCGGCCCCAUUGGGACUGAGAUACGGCCCAGACUCCUACGGGAGGCAGCAGUGGGGAAUAGUGCACAAGGGGCGGAAGCCUGAUGCAGCAACGCCGCGUGCGGGAUGACGGCAUUCGGGUUGUAAACCGCUUUCGCCUGUGACGAAGCGUGAGUGACGGUAAUGGGUAAAGAAGCACCGGCUAACUACGUG
rnacentral:rRNA from 1 species